UGGGGAAUAUUGGACAAUGGGCGAAAGCCUGAUCCAGCCAUGCCGCGUGUGUGAAGAAGGCCUUAUGGUUGUAAAGCACUUUAAGCGAGGAGGAGGGUACUGGUAUUAAUACUACCAGCUACUGGACGUUACUCGCAGAAUAAGCACCGGCUAACUCUGUGCCAGCAGCCGCGGUAAUACAGAGGGUGCGAGCGUUAAUCGGAUUUACUGGGCGUAAAGCGUGCGUAGGCGGCUAAUUGAGUCGGAUGUGAAAUCCCCGAGCUUAACUUGGGAAUUGCAUUCGAUACUGGUUAGCUAGAGUGUGGGAGAGGAUGGUAGAAUUCCAGGUGUAGCGGAGAAAUGCGUAGAGAUCUGGAGGAAUACCGAUGGCGAAGGCAGCCAUCUGGCCUAACACUGACGCUGAGGUACGAAAGCAUGGGGAGCAAACAGG
rnacentral:rRNA from 1 species